GUCCUAAGACUUUAAGUUCCUUAAACCUACAAGCGAAUCAGAUCACAGAUUUAUCAAGCAUUGCCACUUCUGGAAUUGGACACGUUUAUAACCUAUUGUUGUCUAACAAUAGUAUCGAUCACCUUCCACCGAACAUAUUUCACAAUACUCUCGUAAUAUGGAGCCUGUGAGUAACCAAAACAAAAAACAGAGUGGAGUGUUCGUUCUGUGGCUGUCUUUUGAUAGUAUUAC